AGGGCUAGCGGUAGAAGCGGCGAGUGAGCGGCAAAAGCUCAAUUUGAAAACGCUUCGGCGUGUUGUAAGUAAAGUGGUUAGACGCUUUUUAAUAAGUCCCUUGGAACAGGGCGCCAUAGAGGGUGAUAGCCCCGUAUUAAAUUGUCUAGUGUGCUACUUUAGAGCGAGUCGAGUUGUUUGGGAAUGCAGCUCAAAUAGGUGGUAAACUCCAUCUAAAGCUAAAUAUUGCUGGGAGACCGAUAGCGAACAAGUACAGUGAUGGAAAGAUGAAAAGCACUUUGAAAAGAGAGUGAAAUAGCGUGUGAAAUUGUUGGAGGGGAAGGCGAUGGUAGGAAUAAGAGGCUGCGGUUUGAAAUAAUUAUUUUUCGGGCCACGGUCUCCUGAGCCUGCUUUCGCACCCGUCUUAAACCACCGGACA
rnacentral:rRNA from 1 species